rnacentral:tRNA from 1 species
GUAGGUAUAGUUUAAGCUCAAAUAUUAGACUGUGAUCCUAAAGAUAGAAGUUAAAUCCUUCUUACCUACC